rnacentral:tRNA from 1 species
GCCGACGUGGCGGAAUUGGUAGACGCAACGGACUUAAAAUCCGUUAUUCGCAAGAGUGUGCGGGUUCGAUCCCCGCCGUCGGUA